UGUGACCUUCUACUUGCCCACACUCGGGAGCUUUUGAGAGGAAAAGCUAUCCACCCUUUAAACACUCCCAACUGGAGCCAGUAAUGAGUCGGUUUAACGAUUAGCUUUCCUCUGGCACAUUGUACUUGUAAUUACCCUUGCUUAGAAAAAAACAAACAAUUAACCAGUCAGCAGAACACUCUAAUUGGGAUUAAAAUGCGGUAAUACAUGUAUCAUUUUUUCAGGCAAAUGAUUACGGAGUGCCACAGAGCAGCCCUGUUAAGGUAAUUUGGGAAGUGGAACAUUUGAGUUCUCAUUAACGCCGAAGGUCUCGCCUCCAAUCUCACUGAGAUGCUAAUUAAACAAGCUUCAUUAAAUCACAUUUCACUUCUCCGUUGGAUUUUGCUGAGGGGACACAAGGCUUAAAAUAAUUCUCCAUUUAUCAAAAAUGCUGAUUUGCCUGUGAAGAAAGCCUACAGGUCUGACUGAAGCACAGCCUACAGAAGCCCAACGCAAACACGGACAGCUCCAGGAAACCAUCAAAAUGCAAAAAGCAUUGAGUUAGAGUAAAUCUGCCCGACCCGUUCACGGAGUUCCCACAUUAUCUUCCGUUGUGAUCUCUCUCUGUGACGCCGCCGUCAGCCAGACUUGUUCUGGACCGAGAGGGAUUUCGGAUUUUCCUCUCCCCUCCACUAAACAAGGGCCACGUUUAAGGAACAGUGGAAGUGUGUCAAUGUGUUGUCUAAUUGCUGUGGGACAGUGGCGCCACCGGCUAAUCCAUUUCAAACAGCUGACAUGAAAAGCACAGAUUGUCCAGGAGAUGAGUGCGAGGCAUCAUUAGGCGCUGGAGCUUUGAUCAACAGAUGCCAGGAAGCUGCUGUACUGUACAGAAUGUAGCGGCCAUGACAGCGACAGCUCAUCAACAGUCCAGAGUCCACACAACAAAGACAGAGAUUUACAUUGAAAAGGAGAAUGCAGCUUAAAGCGUCUCCUAUCUGCCUCUCCUUUGAUUUUAGAGAGGUGGAUGUGUGAUCAUAAAUGAGUCUGCCAAAGUGAUAAAGAAAGAUGAAACUCCCUUCAGAGGAUAGCAUCAAGACACAAUUACACAACUCCUGGAGCUCGGUGAUAAAUGGAACAGUAUCCAGGCUGAAUGCGACACAAUGGGGGAGUGUCAGUGUUUCAAAAGGUUGUUUGAUUUUUUUGGGGGAUUGAGGAUUAAUGGAUUAUUGCCUUUAUGGGUUAUUGGUCACGGA